CUAAACCAGACCCUCCUCCUAACUGUAUCUGUUGGAGCAGCUGUGUGUGUCGCUGCUGCUGUCAUCAUUGUACACAGAAGAAGAGCAAAUAAUCAAGUGCCAAAUGAUAACAGCAUUGGUCUGAAUGCAAUAAACCACUCCACCCCACCAACCAAUGAUGACAAGUGUCAACCUGCUGACAGUGUCACCUAUGCCUCCAUCCUCCACUUCAACCAAAAUCCGCCUCAGAGAGUUGAUGUAAGUGAAGCUAUACUGUACAUAUUGUAAUAUUAUGACUCUCCCUCCUAUAAACAGUUUGAAGUCUUUACUUUGGUGUGACCGUGUGCGUGUGUGUGCGUUUUGCUUGCUCGGAUACUUUAUCUGAGA